GUUUACAUUGAAAAGCCUGCAGGGACAGGCUAUAGACAUCAAAACCACUACAUUAAGCUGUGUGUGUGUGUGCCUGCUAGUGAGUGUGCUUGCUUGCCUGCAUGCGUAUGUGUGUGUGUGCCUGCUAGUGAGUGAGCUUGUGUUUGUAUGUCAAUGAGCUUAUGUAUAUCAGUGAGAUUGUUUGUCUAUGAGCCUGUGUAUCAAUGAGCU